GCCAGGCAGAGUGGUGUGUGUUUGUAAUCCCAGCAGCUUGGGAGGCUGAGACAGGAGGAUCUUGAGUUCAAAACCAGCCUCAGCAAAAGCAAGGCACUAAGCAACUCAGCAAGAUCCUGUCUCUA
rnacentral:sRNA from 1 species